rnacentral:rRNA from 1 species
UACGUAGGGUGCGAGCGUUGUCCGGAAUUAUUGGGCGUAAAGGGCUCGUAGGCGGUUUGUCGCGUCGGGAGUGAAAACCUUGGGCUUAACUCAGGGCUUGCUUUCGAUACGGGCAGACUAGAGGUAUGCAGGGGAGAACGGAAUUCCUGGUGUAGCGGUGAAAUGCGCAGAUAUCAGGAGGAACACCGGUGGCGAAGGCGGUUCUCUGGGCAUGUCCUGACGCUGAGGAGCGAAAGUGUGGGGAGCGAACAGG